UUGCUGGGUGGAUUAGUGGCGAACGGGUGAGUAACACGUGAGUAACCUGCCCUUAACUCUGGGAUAAGCCUGGGAAACUGGGUCUAAUACCGGAUAGGAGCGCCUACCGCAUGGUGGGUGUUGGAAAGAUUUAUCGGUUUUGGAUGGACUCGCGGCCUAUCAGCUUGUUGGUGAGGUAAUGGCUCACCAAGGCGACGACGGGUAGCCGGCCUGAGAGGGUGACCGGCCACACUGGGACUGAGACACGGCCCAGACUCCUACGGGAGGCAGCAGUGGGGAAUAUUGCACAAUGGGCGAAAGCCUGAUGCAGCGACGCCGCGUGAGGGAUGACGGCCUUCGGGUUGUAAACCUCUUUCAGUAGGGAAGAAGCGAAAGUGACGGUACCUGCAGAAGAAGCACCGGCUAACUACGUGCCAGCAGCCGCGGUAAUACGUAGGGUGCGAGCGUUAUCCGGAAUUAUUGGGCGUAAAGAGCUCGUAGGCGGUUUGUCGCGUCUGUCGUGAAAGUCCGGGGCUUAACCCCGGAUCUGCGGUGGGUACGGGCAGACUAGAGUGCAGUAGGGGAGACUGGAAUUCCUGGUGUAGCGGUGGAAUGCGCAGAUAUCAGGAGGAACACCGAUGGCGAAGGCAGGUCUCUGGGCUGUAACUGACGCUGAGGAGCGAAAGCAUGGGGAGCGAACAGGAUUAGAUACCCUUGGUAGUCCAUGCCGUAAACGUUGGGCACUAGGUGUGGGGACCAUUCCACCGGUUUCCNGCGCCGCAGCUAACCGCAUUAAAGUGCCCCGGCCUGGGG
rnacentral:rRNA from 1 species